rnacentral:lncRNA from 1 species
UUUCUCAAAUUAAAACCCUAACUUAUGACACCACUUCUGCCCUCCCUCUUCAUCGCCAGGUCAUUAGGUACUUAGCUGGAGCUUGCAUAGGGAAGGAGUCGUUGUGGAACAUGGACCGUUGUGUGUUCAUGAUAAACUUAUGAACUUUAAAUUUAUAAUUUUGGGUUUUGAACUUAAUGCUUCUGCCGAUAACUUAGACUUUGUUAAGUUGUUUUGACACCAAUUAUAUUGUUUGGUUUGGAU